AUUGAACGCUGGCGGCAGGCCUAACACAUGCAAGUCGAGCGGCAGCGGGAAAGUAGCUUGCUACUUUUGCCGGCGAGCGGCGGACGGGUGAGUAAUGCCUGGGAAAUCGCCCAGUCGAGGGGGAUAACAGUUGGAAACGACUGCUAAUACCGCAUACGCCCUACGGGGGAAAGCAGGGGACCUUCGGGCCUUGCGCGAUUGGAUAUGCCCAGGUGGGAUUAGCUAGUUGGUGAGGUAAUGGCUCACCAAGGCGACGAUCCCUAGCUGGUCUGAGAGGAUGAUCAGCCACACUGGAACUGAGACACGGUCCAGACUCCUACGGGAGGCAGCAGUGGGGAAUAUUGCACAAUGGGGGCAACCCUGAUGCAGCCAUGCCGCGUGUGUGAGGAAGGCCUUCGGGUUGUAAAGCACUUUCAGCGAGGAGGAAAGGUUGAUGCCUAAUACGUAUCAACUGUGACGUUACUCGCAGAAGAAGCACCGGCUAACUCCGUGCCAGCCGCCGCCGUAAGAC
rnacentral:rRNA from 1 species